CCCAGUCUCACGUCUGAACGUGUCACUGUCACGUUAAUUAAUCUAUUGGGACGUGUUGUGUAACACGUUUCCUUGUUAAAAAACGUGUUGAGCACGACGUAAUUAUCGUGUUACUAUCACGUUGUAUUUCGCUUUCAGCCAGAACCACGUCAUCUGUCAAAAAAGCCCGACCCAAAAUGGCGAGAAUGUUAUUUGAUGCUUUUGACGUGCAGUUUCAUACUCUUAAGCCUGCUUUGAGUUGUGGGUUAGAAGGAGCCACCUUCUAGCUAGCAGUUUUAGAAGGCUGAACCCCAGAAUCCAGAAACAAGAACCGAGCAGGGACGGAGAAAAAAGAAGAAUCCAAAUGGGAAAUGAGAUAAGGCCUCUUCAUUUUCAUCUGUGAAGGAUCUACAUGGACUUGGUCUGGAUAGCCUUUCCUGUUUUGAUGAGCCAGUCGGGUCUAGAGGAAAAACCCUAUAUGAGCCCCAGGAUCCUUGCUCCUGAUAUCCUGAUGUAUGGGUUGCACUUCAUUAUAUGACUCCAACAGAACACUCACAGAAAGGAGAGUAGUAUCAAACUACAAGACAGCCAGCAUGUAAGCAAGGCCUUGUUUGUCCUUGUUUGGCUACUCAUUUGUCUACUUCCUGAAGAGGCUGAAGCAUGCUGGCCUCCUUGCUUCCAUUAACAGCUGUGUUAUGGAGUGCAUCCUCACAUCAUGGUCUACUGCAGCGGUGGAUACAGAGGACAAUUGGCAGGUUGUCAGCUGUUUGGUUAUCCCCAAAGCAGAAAGACAUGCCAGGAAGGAGCAAGGCAAAGCCCGGGGAUUUUUCUGCAGCUGUUCCUGCCCGUUAUAGAAGGACUGCUCCUGAGAAUAGAUGGGUGUCUACAUCGUUUUGCAAAAUGGGUCUUCUACACAUGAUGUUUGUCAAGCACUGCUCAUUGACUGGCCAGGGGUCCUCUGUAUUGUGACCACUGGUCAAAGGCGCCACAUGACUGUCUCAAAGUCCUCUACAUCAUUCCGGUGACGGGACUUCUGGCCUAGUCUGACAGGAUGGGUCUUGUGUUACUGUGACCAGACGGCUCAACAAUGCAUCAUUCUCAUCCAUGCCCUCAUCGCCUCAAGACUGGAGUACAGCAUUCUCUAUGGUCUUGAAAAAUAUUACUGUCUUUAUUAUUAUUAUUAUUAUUAUUAUUAUUAUUAUUAUUAUUACAGGUCUCUCUGCACCCGAACCAGCAGGUUCAGAGGAAGCUUCUUUUCUGUGGCUGUCACCCGACUGGACUGUAGCUCUGUAUCCCGUGGUGUAUACUACGAAUCUCGAUUAGUCGGUUAGCGAGGUAUGUUGCGCUCAAAGCCAGGGUAUGCUGUGACACGAAAGUGGAUCUGUUUUAGUGUCGCUGUAUCACCAUGGU